AAGUCGUAACAAGGUAACCGUAGGUGAACCUGCGGUUGGAUCAUUAAAUUGAAAAAGAGAGAGAAUAGAAAAAUUCUCUUGAUUUUUAAACAUUUAGAGAUAAUUGAUUGUUUUUUUUUGUGGAAAGGAGAGAGAAAUGAGAAAUCAUUCUUUUUUUUUCCACAAAUUUUAAUUAAUAAACCAUUUUAAAUAUUAAUAAUAAAAAUAAAAUAAAAAACAACUUUUGACAACGGAUCUCUUGGCUCUC
rnacentral:misc_RNA from 1 species